GACGAACGCUGGCGGUAUGCUUAACACAUGCAAGUCGAACGAGAAGUCUUUUAUUGAACCUUNNGGGGAUAUAAGAGACAGACAGUGGCGAACGGGUGAGUAACGCGUGGGCAACCUACCUAUCGGAGCGGGAUAGCCUCGAGAAAUCGGGAGUAAAACCGCAUAACACGGAUAUAUCGCAUGAUGAAUCCGUCAAAACUCCGGUGCCGAUAGAUGGGCCCGCGUCUGAUUAGCUAGUUGGUAAGGUAAGGGCUUACCAAGGCAACGAUCAGUAGCCGGUCUGAGAGGGCGAACGGCCACACUGGAACUGAGACACGGUCCAGACUCCUACGGGAGGCAGCAGUGGGGAAUAUUGCGCAAUGGGGGCAACCCUGACGCAGCAAUACCGCGUGAGUGAAGAAGGUUUUCGGAUCGUAAAGCUCUGUUAUUGGGGAAGAAGCAGUGACGGUACCCAAUGAGGAAGUCCCGGCUAACUACGUGCCAGCAGCCGCGGUAAUACGUAGGGGACGAGCGUUGUCCGGAAUCACUGGGCGUAAAGGGCGCGUAGGCGGUUUUAUAAGUCAGAUGUGAAAGGUACCGGCUCAACCGGUGACGUGCAUUUGAAACUGUAAGACUUGAGUACUGAAGAGGCAAGCGGAAUUCCUAGUGUAGCGGUGAAAUGCGUAGAUAUUAGGAAGAACACCGGUGGCGAAGGCGGCUUGCUGGGCAGAUACUGACGCUGAGGUGCGAAAGCGUGGGGAGCGAACAGG
rnacentral:rRNA from 1 species